GGCCUAACACAUGCAAGUCGAACGAUAGAUAGAGGCUUGCUUCUAUCGAAAGUGGCGCACGGGUGCGUAACGCGUAUGCAACCUACCUUAAUCUGGGGGAUAGCCCGGAGAAAUCCGGAUUAAUACCGCAUAAAAUCACAGGAUGGCAUUAUCCAAUGAUCAAACAUUUAUGGGAUUGAGAUGGGCAUGCGUGUCAUUAGCUAGUUGGCGGGGUAACGGCCCACCAAGGCGACGAUGACUAGGGGAUCUGAGAGGAUGGCCCCCCACACUGGUACUGAGACACGGACCAGACUCCUACGGGAGGCAGCAGUAAGGAAUAUUGGUCAAUGGAGGCAACUCUGAACCAGCCAUGCCGCGUGCAGGAAGACUGCCCUAUGGGUUGUAAACUGCUUUUAUCCGGGAAUAAACCUGCUUACGUGUAAGUAGCUGAAUGUACCGGAAGAAUAAGGAUCGGCCAACUCCGUGCCAGCAGCCGCGGUAAUACGGAGGAUCCAAGCGUUAUCCGGAUUUAUUGGGUUUAAAGGGUGCGUAGGCGGCCUGUUAAGUCAGGGGUGAAAGACGGUAGCUCAACUAUCGCAGUGCCCUUGAUACUGAUGGGCUUGAAUGGACUAGAGGCAGGCGGAAUGAGACAAGUAGCGGUGAAAUGCAUAGAUAUGUCUCAGAACACCGAUUGCGAAGGCAGCUUACUAUGGUCCUAUUGACGCUGAGGCACGAAAGCGUGGGGAUCAAACAGGAUUAGAUACCCUGGUAGUCCACGCCCUAAACGAUGAACACUCGCUGUUGGCGAUACACAGUCAGCGGCUAAGCGAAAGCGUUAAGUGUUCCACCUGGGGAGUACGCUCGCAAGAGUGAAAC
rnacentral:rRNA from 1 species